GUGGUAAUGCCGGAUGCUCCAUCACACUGCAUGGUGUGUUGGGAAAGCCUUUGCGGCAUGGGAUGGGGUCGCGUCCUAUCAGCUUGAUGGCGGGGUAACGGCCCACCAUGGCUUCGACGGGUAGCCGGCCUGAGAGGGCGACCGGCCACAUUGGGACUGAGAUACGGCCCAGACUCCUACGGGAGGCAGCAGUGGGGAAUAUUGCACAAUGGGCGCAAGCCUGAUGCAGCGACGCCGCGUGAGGGAUGGAGGCCUUCGGGUUGUAAACCUCUUUUGUUAGGGAGCAAGGCAUUUUGUGUUGAGUGUACCUUUCGAAUAAGCACCGGCUAACUACGUGCCAGCAGCCGCGGUAAUACGUAGGGUGCAAGCGUUAUCCGGAAUUAUUGGGCGUAAAGGGCUCGUAGGCGGUUCGUCGCGUCCGGUGUGAAAGUCCAUCGCUUAACGGUGGAUCCGCGCCGGGUACGGGCGGGCUUGAGUGCGGUAGGGGAGACUGGAAUUCCCGGUGUAACGGUGGAAUGUGUAGAUAUCGGAAAGAAACACCA
rnacentral:rRNA from 1 species